rnacentral:misc_RNA from 1 species
GAUGAAGAACGUAGCGAAAUGCGAUAAGUAAUGUGAAUUGCAGAAUUCAGUGAAUCAUCGAAUCUUUGAACGCACAUUGCGCCCGCUAGUAUUCUGGCGGGCAUGCCUGUUCGAGCGUCAUUAUAACCCCUCAAGCUCAGCUUGGUGUUGGGGCCUGCUGCACUGGCAGCCCUUAAAAUCAGUGGCGGCGCCAUCUGGCUCUAAGCGUAGUAAUUCUUCUCGCUAUGGAGUCCUGGUGGAUGCUUGCCAUCAACCCCCAAUUUUUCUAUGGUUGACCUCGGAUCAGGUAGGGAUACCCGCUGAACUUAAGCAUAUCAAUAAGCGGAGG